CUACGUGCCAGCAGCCGCGGUAAUACGUAGGUGGCAAGCGUUGUCCGGAAUUAUUGGGCGUAAAGCGCGCGCAGGCGGAUUGGUCAGUCUGUCUUAAAAGUUCGGGGCUUAACCCCGUGAUGGGAUGGAAACUGCCAAUCUAGAGUAUCGGAGAGGAAAGUGGAAUUCCUAGUGUAGCGGUGAAAUGCGUAGAUAUUAGGAAGAACACCAGUGGCGAAGGCGACUUUCUGGACGAAAACUGACGCUGAGGCGCGAAAGCCAGGGGAGCGAACGGGAUUAGAUACCCCGGUAGUCCUGGCCGUAAACGAUGGGUACUAGGUGUAGGAGGUAUCGACCCCUUCUGUGCCGGAGUUGACGCAAUAAGUACCCCGCCUGGGGAGUACGACCGCAAGGUUGAAACUCAAAGGAAUUGACGGGGGCCCGCACAAGCGGUGGAGUAUGUGGUUUAAUUCGACGCAACGCGAAGAACCUUACCAGGUCUUGACAU
rnacentral:rRNA from 1 species